rnacentral:rRNA from 1 species
UACAGAGGGUGCAAGCGUUAAUCGGAAUUACUGGGCGUAAAGGGUGCGUAGGUGGUUGUUCAAGUUGGGUGUGAAAUCCCCGGGCUUAACCUGGGAACUGCAUUCAAAACUAAGCAACUAGAGUAGGAUAGAGGGAAGUGGAAUUUCCGGUGUAGCGGUGAAAUGCGUAGAUAUCGGAAGGAACAUCAGUGGCGAAGGCGGCUUCCUGGAUCCAUACUGACACUGAGGCACGAGAGCGUGGGGAGCAAACAGG